AGAAGAAAUAAAAAAGAAAUGGAAAGAUGCAAGAUCCAUUGUGAAGAAGAAAGAAGCCAGUAGAAAAUACCAGACGAAGAGAACGGGCGGAGGGCCUCCCCCGGAAUCUGUAUUCAAGGCAUGGGAACUUGACAUUUUGUCAAUUAUACCGGAUGAACUUAUCUCUGGGAUUGACGGAGGGGUUGAUACUGCCUUUGCCAGUAAUUCUGAAACAAAUAACUCAGCCUCAUCAUGCACUGCAGUCCCAUCGGAAAUUUCCGCUGGAAUUCCAUCCUUGAUUGUAGAAGAAGUUGACGUUCCGGAAGAAGCUCCAAGUGUACAUGUGUCCAGGCCUUCCACCGACACAUUCUUUGCUUCAACUCUGUAUGGAUCUAAACGUAAAGACACGGCCAGCGACCCCGACGCUGAGUUUAUGCUGAAUUUGAUAGAAGAGGAG